rnacentral:rRNA from 1 species
ACGAACGCUGGCGGCAUGCCUAACACAUGCAAGUCGAACGAGACCUUCGGGUCUAGUGGCGCACGGGUGCGUAACGCGUGGGAACCUGCCCUUAGGUUCGGAAUAACUCCCCGAAAGGGGUGCUAAUACCGGAUAAUGUCUUCGGACCAAAGAUUUAUCGCCUUUGGAUGGGCCCGCGUUGGAUUAGCUAGUUGGUGGGGUAAAAGCCUACCAAGGCGACGAUCCAUAGCUGGUCUGAGAGGAUGAUCAGCCACACUGGGACUGAGACACGGCCCAGACUCCUACGGGAGGCAGCAGUGGGGAAUAUUGGACAAUGGGCGAAAGCCUGAUCCAGCAAUGCCGCGUGAGUGAUGAAGGCCUUAGGGUUGUAAAGCUCUUUUACCCGGGAUGAUAAUGACAGUACCGGGAGAAUAAGCUCCGGCUAACUCCGUG